AACCUAGCACACCUGCGGUGUGUACCUGCGGAGGGAUCAUUAUCAAGUUACAGCGGAGGCGCCCUCGGGUGUCCUCCUGUCUGCAACCCUUGUCUUUUGCGUACUGUAUGUUUCCUCGGCGGGUUCGCCCGCCGAUAGGACAUUCAUAAACCCUUCGUAGUUGCAAUCAGCGUCAGAAAAAACUAUAAUAGUUACAACUUUUAACAAUGGAUCU
rnacentral:misc_RNA from 1 species